rnacentral:rRNA from 1 species
UACGUAGGGUGCGAGCGUUAAUCGGAAUUACUGGGCGUAAAGCGUGCGCAGGCGGUUCGUUGUGUCGGCGGUGAAAGCCCCGGGCUUAACCUGGGAAUGGCCGUUGAAACUGGCGAACUGGAGUGUGGCAGAGGGGGGUGGAAUUCCGCGUGUAGCAGUGAAAUGCGUAGAGAUGCGGAGGAACACCGAUGGCGAAGGCAGCCCCCUGGGCUAACACUGACGCUCAGGCACGAAAGUGUGGGGAGCAAACAGG